UACGUAGGGUGCGAGCGUUGUCCGGAAUCAUUGGGCGUAAAGCGCACGUAGGCGGUUCGUUAUGUCGGAUGUGAAAGCCCUUGGCUUAACCGAGGAAGUGCAUCCGAAACUGGCGAGCUAGAGUACUAAAGAGGAUCGCGGAAUUCCCGGUGUAGAGGUGAAAAUUCGUAGAUAUCGGGAGGAACACCGGUGGCGAAGGCGGCGAUCUGGGUAGAUACUGACGCUGAGGUGCGAAAGCGUGGGGAGCAAACAGG
rnacentral:rRNA from 1 species